UCCCUGGUGGUCCAGUGGUUAGGACUUCUUGCUCUCAUGGCUGCAGGCCCAGGUUCAAUCCCUGGUCAGGAAA
rnacentral:tRNA from 1 species